rnacentral:rRNA from 1 species
CAGUAGCCGCGGUAAUACGUAGGGUGCGAGCGUUAAUCGGAAUUACUGGGCGUAAAGCGUGCGCAGGCGGUUCGUUAAGACAGAUGUGAAAUCCCCGGGCUUAACCUGGGAACUGCAUUUGUGACUGGCGAGCUAGAGUAUGGCAGAGGGGGGUAGAAUUCCACGUGUAGCAGUGAAAUGCGUAGAGAUGUGGAGGAAUACCGAUGGCGAAGGCAGCCCCCUGGGCCAAUACUGACGCUCAUGCACGAAAGCGUGGGGAGCAAACAGGAUUAGAUACCCCCGUAGUCCCUGUCUCUUAUAC